GGCAAUCUGGCCGAGUUGGUCUAAGGCGUAGGAUUAAGGUUCCUAUCUCUUCGGAACCGAGGGUUCGAAUCCCUCGGUUGUCA
rnacentral:tRNA from 1 species